GUAUCACAAUUUUGGGGACAUCCGAUUUGGAACAAUACAGAGAAGAUUAGCAUGGCUCUUGCGCAAGGAUGGCACGCACAAAUCGAGAAAUGGUAUCAGAGCCU